GACGAACGCUGGCGGCGUGCCUAAUACAUGCAAGUCGAGCGAGCGGAACUAACAGAUUUACUUCGGUAAUGACGUUAGGAAAGCGAGCGGCGGAUGGGUGAGUAACACGUGGGGAACCUGCCCCAUAGUCUGGGAUACCACUUGGAAACAGGUGCUAAUACCGGAUAAGAAAGCAGAUCGCAUGAUCAGCUUUUAAAAGGCGGCGUAAGCUGUCGCUAUGGGAUGGCCCCGCGGUGCAUUAGCUAGUUGGUAAGGUAAAGGCUUACCAAGGCGAUGAUGCAUAGCCGAGUUGAGAGACUGAUCGGCCACAUUGGGACUGAGACACGGCCCAAACUCCUACGGGAGGCAGCAGUAGGGAAUCAUCCACAAUGGACGCAAGUCUGAUGGAGCAACGCCGCGUGAGUGAAGAAGGUUUUCGGAUCGUAAAGCUCUGUUGUUGGUGAAGAAGGAUAGAGGUAGUAACUGGCCUUUAUUUGACGGUAAUCAACCAGAAAGUCACGGCUAACUACGUG
rnacentral:rRNA from 1 species